rnacentral:rRNA from 1 species
CGUGAAAUUGUUGAAAGGGAAGCGCUCAUGACCAGACUUGGGCUUGGUUGAUCACCCAGGGUUCUCCCUUGUGCACUCUUCCAGCCCAGGCCAGCAUCAGUUCGCUGUGGGGGAUAAAGGCUUUGGGAAUGUGGCUCCUCCGGGAGUGUUAUAGCCCAUUGUGUAAUACCCUGUGGUGGACUGAGGUUCGCGCAUCUGCAAGGAUGCUGGCGUAGUGGUCAUCAGCGACCCGUCUUGAAACACG